UAACCUGCCCUUAACUCUGGGAUAAGCCUGGGAAACUGGGUCUAAUACCGGAUAGGAGCGUCCACCGCAUGGUGGGUGUUGGAAAGAUUUAUCGGUUUUGGAUGGACUCGCGGCCUAUCAGCUUGUUGGUGAGGUAAUGGCUCACCAAGGCGACGACGGGUAGCCGGCCUGAGAGGGUGACCGGCCACACUGGGACUGAGACACGGCCCAGACUCCUACGGGAGGCAGCAGUGGGGAAUAUUGCACAAUGGGCGCAAGCCUGAUGCAGCGACGCCGCGUGAGGGAUGACGGCCUUCGGGUUGUAAACCUCUUUCAGUAGGGAAGAAGCGAAAGUGACGGUACCUGCAGAAGAAGCACCGGCUAACUACGUGCCAGCAGCCGCGGUAAUACGUAGGGUGCGAGCGUUAUCCGGAAUUAUUGGGCGUAAAGAGCUCGUAGGCGGUUUGUCG
rnacentral:rRNA from 1 species